CCGGCCUCCGUAGACGGACAAAGAUUCUGCGCGGGGGGUCGAAAAGUAGAAGGACUUCACGGAAGUAAAGGCAACUUUUUGGAACGCGUAGUGGUGUGGAGAAAACAGUAGUUGGCCAACUACUGACGGAGGGACUAAUCCACCAGGCCGCCCAUCGGUCUAGGGCUGCUUUCGAGCUGCAGAAGUAGAGGCGUGCGGUCCGUUCUGAAAGGUCACAGCCUUGAAAACUCUAUGGAGCAGUUCUGUUCUGCACACAUGGGGUCGUCAUGAGUUGGAAUCAACUCAAUAGCAACUACCAAUAACAAAAACAACAGGUAUGUGAAAUAUCUGCUCAUUGGUUCCUAGGAGAGCAUUUUCUCUUAAAUAGGUAAUUCCUUCAAUCUCUUUUUCCAGGUAGAUGAUCAUAUUGUCUGAAAAUAACCUUAAUUUUUUGUCCAUCCUUGUAAUGUUUAUAUAUUACCCUUAUGAUGCACUGGCUCAGUUCUUCAAUAUAAAAUGGAUAAAUAGGUUGGUAGUUUUUGGUACAUCUUUGUUUUGUUGCCUAUUCAUAAAAUUCACUUCUAUAUUAUCUUCCCAGGAGGUGGGAUCAUAAAAUCAUGAAUUCAUGCAGGACUUUAAAUUUAAUGACAUAAUGAAAUUUGUAGUAGUAUUUGUUGAUUUUAUCUGGGUCAUUUCUCCCAUUAAUUCCUUAUACUCAUUAUUUGCGCCAUUUCAUCUUUUGAUCCAUCUCACUCUGAAUGUGUAUAUUUUAUUGGUCUUAUCAAAGAACAAGCUUUUGGUGUUUCUGGGUUUUUCGUUUUGCUUUUGGUAUUUUUGAGCUCCUCCAUUCCUUUAAUUUUUCUACAUUUAUCUUUUAAAAAAAUGUACAAUUAACUAGUAUAACUAGCAUAUAUACAUGUAACUAACCACUGCCCAGGGGAAGAAAUAGAAUAUCGCCAGCACCCAGGUGGUGCCUUUGCUCAAUCAGAUCCAAACCUCACACUCCAAGGUCAUUACCAUCCUGCGGUCUAUAGCAAGCACUUCCAGGCUUUCCUUUAUAGUUUUCCCAGGUAUUUAAUUGUUCCUAAUCAUUAUAACUUUUUAAAAAUGUUAAUUUAUCGUGUUUUCAGUGAAGGUUUACACAACAGUUUCGGUUCUCAUUCAACAGUUUCUACACAAGUUGUUCAGUGGCACUGGUUACAUUCUUCACAAUGUGUGAACAUCUCAUUAUUCCCGUUUUGGUUAUUCCCUUUCUAUUAAUCUAGUUUCUCUAGUCAUUUUAAUUUAUUUAGUUUUGCCUAUUUUCAACUGAGUAUAAAUGGAGUUGUAUAUAAUCAAUUUUUUUAAAUCAGGAUUGGUUUGCUCGGUAUUUUAUUUCUGAGAGUCAGGCACGUUGUUACACACAGCUGUAUUUACUUUGCUCUGUAACCGAGUUGGCAAACUUACUCUAUGAAUGGUUACAUAGUAAAAAUUUUAGGCUUUUCAGGCUGUAUAAAUUCUCUCACAUAGAAUUCCUUGCUGCUUUGUUUUGUUUUUUGACAACCCUUUAUAUAAAUGUCGAAAUCGACUCAACGGCAACAGAUUUGGUUUUGGCUAUAUAAUGUACAAGACAUUCUUAGCUUGCAUGCUGGCCAAAAGUUUGAGUUGCUCUGUAGCAUUCCAUUGUAUGAAUAUGGAGCAUUUUUUUCUAUUAUUAAUGUACACUUGGGUUGUUUGAAGUUUGGACUAGUACACAUAAUGCUUCUUUGAAAAUAGUGGUGCAUGUCUUGUGGUUCAAAUGUACACUCAUUAUAGGGGGAUAUGUACCCAGAUGUAUCCCUCAGACUAGCGCUCAACUGCUAGCCAAUAGAUUGGUGGUUCGAACCCACCAGUGGCUCUGCGGGAGAAAGAUGUGGCAGUCAGCUUCCAUAAAGAUUACAGCUUUGGAAACCGUGGGGCAGUUCUCUUCUGUCCUGUAGGAUUGCUAUGAGUCGAAAUUGAAUCGACGGCGCUGGGUUUUUGGUUUUACACCUCAGAUUCAAAUUGUUGUUCCAAAAUGUAUAUAUAACUUCAACCUAAUAGAUGGUGCCUAAGUGUUUUCUGGAGUGGUUAUUUCACUUUACAGUUCCUCCAGCAGAAUAGUCUUCACUUUAUAGUGAUUUAUGUGGUAUGUGUAUAAUGUUUCCAUGGCCUAAUGUAAAGUUAUCUUCUUAAAGCUUUAUUGAUUUGCCAUUCUCAUGGAGAGUUACAGUUGACCCCGAAUUGAUAGUUUUGUAUUUUGUGAGGUAGGGAUAAAGCUUUUUUUUUUUUUUUUUACAUGAUAUUUGAUUGUCCAAGUGCUAUUUUUUUGAAAAGCCUUCUUUGGCCCAUAUCUCUGCAAAUUCUGACUCUUUAAGUUUAAUUGCCCAUGGAUGUAAAAUGUUUUGGGGCAAGAAAUAAAGGGACAGUCAGCAGUAUUGGGCACCUUGUGUUAAGAUGAGUGCCAGGAGCACUGACUGCAUCUGGGCCCAGAGGUACUGUAUCACUCACAUUGAAUUUUCU